rnacentral:tRNA from 1 species
CUACCCGUAGCCCAGCUGGAUAGAGCGUUCGGCUCCGACCCGGAAGGUCGCAGGUUCGAAUCCUGUCGGGUAGG